AUCUACAUCCUUACCACACUGAAUCCACCCAAUCUUGUUUGAUUUCCAAAGCUAAAAAGGGUCAAUCCCAGAUGGUAUUUGGAUGACAGCCACCCUGGGAAUACUUGGUACUGUAGGCU
rnacentral:rRNA from 1 species